rnacentral:rRNA from 1 species
CGGGGGGAGCAAGCGUUGUUCGGAUUUACUGGGCGUAAAGGGCGCGUAGGCGGCCAGCGCAAGUCAGUUGUGAAAUCUCCGGGCUUAACUCGGAAAGGUCAACUGAUACUGCGCGGCUAGAGUGCAGAAGGGGCAACUGGAAUUCUUGGUGUAGCGGUGAAAUGCGUAGAUAUCAAGAGGAACACCUGCGGCGAAGGCGGGUUGCUGGGCUGACACUGACGCUGAUGCGCGAAAGCCAGGGGAGCGAACGGGAUUAGAUACCCCGGUAGUCCUGGCCUUAAACGAUGAAUGCUUGGUGUCUGGGGUUAUAAAGUCCCCGGGUGCCGUCGCUAACGCUUUAAGCAUUCCGCCUGGGGAGUACGGUCGCAAGACUG